rnacentral:rRNA from 1 species
GAUGAACGCUGGCGGCGUGCCUAAUACAUGCCAGUCGAGCGAACAGACGAGGAGCUUGCUCCUCUGAUGUUAGCGGCGGACGGGUGAGUAACACGUGGAUAACCUACCUAUAAGACUGGGAUAACUUCGGGAAACCGGAGCUAAUACCGGAUAACAUGUUGAACCGCAUGGUUCAACAGUGAAAGACGGUUUUGCUGUCACUUAUAGAUGGAUCCGCGCCGCAUUAGCUAGUUGGUAAGGUAACGGCUUACCAAGGCAACGAUGCGUAGCCGACCUGAGAGGGUGAUCGGCCACACUGGAACUGAGACACGGUCCAGACUCCUACGGGAGGCAGCAGUAGGGAAUCUUCCGCAAUGGGCGAAAGCCUGACGGAGCAACGCCGCGUGAGUGAAGAAGGUCUUCGGAUCGUAAAACUCUGUUAUUAGGGAAGAACAAAUGUGUAAGUAACUAUGCACGUCUUGACGGUACCUAAUCAGAAAGCCACGGCUAACUACGUG